rnacentral:rRNA from 1 species
GAUGAACGCUGGCGGCGUGCCUAAUACAUGCAAGUCGAGCGAACAGACGAGGAGCUUGCUCCUCUGACGUUAGCGGCGGACGGGUGAGUAACACUUGGAUAACCUACCUAUAAGACUGGGAUAACUUCGGGAAACCGGAGCUAAUACCGGAUAAUAUAUUGAACCGCAUGGUUCAAUAGUGAAAGACGGUUUUGCUGUCACUUAUAGAUGGAUCCGCGCCGCAUUAGCUAGUUGGUGAGGUAACGGCUUACCAAGGCAACGAUGCGUAGCCGACCAGAGAGAGGAACAGGACACGCUGGAAGAGAGGAACGGGCCAGACUCGUACGGGAGGCAGAAGAAGGGAAUCUUCCGAAAGGGGAGAAGGCAUGACGGAGCAACGCGGCAUAAGUGAUGAAGGAAUUCGGAUGGGAAAACUCUGUUAUUAGGGAAGAAGAAAUGUGUAAGUAACUAUGCAAGUCAUGACGGUACCUGAUCAGAAAGCCACGGCUAACUACGUG